rnacentral:rRNA from 1 species
AUGGCUGUCGUCAGCUCGUGCGUGAGAUGUUGGGUUAAGUCCCGUAACGAGCGCAACCCUUGUCCUUAGUUACCAGCACGUUAUGGUGGGCACUCUAAGGAGACUGCCGGUGGACAACCGGAGGAAGGUGGGGAUGACGUCAAGUCAUCAUGGCCCUUACGGCCUGGGCUACACACGUGCUACAAUGGUCGGUACAAAGGGUUGCCAAGCCGCGAGGUGGAGCUAAUCCCAAUAAAACCGAUCGUACGUCCGGAUCGCAGUCUGCAACUCGACUGCGUGAAGUCGGAAUCGCUAGUAAUCGUGAAUCAGAAUGUCACGGUGAAUACGUUCCCGGGCCUU